UACGUAGGUGGCAAGCGUUGUCCGGAAUUAUUGGGCGUAAAGCGCGCGCAGGCGGCCUCUUAAGUCUGAUGUGAAAAGCCCCCCGGCUCAACCGGGGGAGGGCCAUUGGAAACUGGGAGGCUUGAGUAUAGGAGAGAAGAGUGGAAUUCCACGUGUAGCGGUGAAAUGCGUAGAGAUGUGGAGGAACACCAGUGGCGAAGGCGACUCUUUGGCCUAUAACUGACGCUGAGGCGCGAAAGCGUGGGGGAGCAAACAGG
rnacentral:rRNA from 1 species